UACAGAGGGUGCGAGCGUUAAUCGGAAUUACUGGGCGUAAAGGGUGCGUAGGUGGUUAUAUAAGUUAGGUGUGAAAGUCCCGGGCUUAACCUGGGGAUUGCGCCUGAUACUGUGUAGCUAGAGUGCUGUAGAGGGAAGUGGAAUUUCCGGUGUAGCGGUGAAAUGCGUAGAUAUCGGAAGGAACAUCGGUGGCGAAGGCGACUUUCUGGACAGACACUGACACUGAGGCACGAAAGCAUGGGGAGCAAACAGG
rnacentral:rRNA from 1 species